AUUGAACGCUGGCGGCAGGCCUAACACAUGCAAGUCGAACGAGUGGCGGACGGGUGAGUAAUGUCUGGGAAACUGCCUGAUGGAGGGGGAUCACUACUGGAAACGGUAGCUAAUACCGCAUACCAUCAGAUGUGCCCAGAUGGGAUUGGCUUGUUGGUGGGGUAAUGGCUCACCAGGGCGACGAUCCCUAGCUGGUCUGAGAGGAUGACGAGCCACACUGGAACGGAGACAGGGUCCAGCCUCCUACGGAGGGCGGAAGUGGGUAAUAUUGCACAAUGGGGGAAAGCCUGAUGCAGCAAUGCCGCGUGUAGGAGGAAGGCUUUCGGGUUGUAAAGUACGUUCAGCGGGGAGGCGUUACCCGCAUAAGAAGCACCGGCUAACUCCGUGCCAGCAGCCGCGGUAAUAC
rnacentral:rRNA from 1 species